UAUAUAUAUAUAUAUAUAUAUUUUAGUGCAUAGGUAAAGCUGCCAAAGCUGAACAUUAUCCAAAACUCCAUUUCUCAGACGAGCGUCAG